rnacentral:rRNA from 1 species
GACGAACGCUGGCGGCGUGCCUAAUACAUGCAAGUAGGACGCAGUUGCGAACGGGUGAGUAACGCGUAGGUAACUACCUAUUAGAGGGGGAUAACCAUUGGAAACGAUAGCUAAUACCGCAUACUAGUAGAUGGACCUGCGUUGUAUUAGCUAGUAGGUAGGGGAAUGGGCUACCAAGGCAACGGUACAUCACCGAUCUGGGAGGGGGAGUCGGCAACCUGGGACUGGGAAACGGCCCAGAAUCCUACGGGAGGCAGCAAGAGGGAAUCAUCGGAAAUGGGGGGAACGCCGGCCGAUGAACGGCGGGGGAGUGAAGAAGGUUUUCGGGUCGUAAAGCUCUGUUGUUAAGGAAGCGGUACUUACCCAGAAAGGGACGGCUAACUACGUGCCAGCAGCCGCGGUAAUAC